rnacentral:tRNA from 1 species
GCUGGUAUAGCUCAGUGGUAGAGUGUUUGCCUAAUGUGCACAAGGCCCUAGGCUCAAUCCCUGUACCACA